CAGCCGUAAACUAUGCUCGCUAGGUGUCAGGCAUGGCGCGACCGUGUCUGGUGCCGCAGGGAAGCCGUGAAGCGAGCCACCUGGGAAGUACGGCCGCAAGGCUGAAACUUAAAGGAUUGGCGGGGGAGCACAACAACGGGUGGAGCCUGCGGUUUAAUUGGACUCAACGCCGGACAACUCACCGGGGACGACAGCAAUAUGUAGGCCAGGCUGAAGACCUUGCCUGAAUCGCUGAGAGGAGGUGCAUGGCGUAGACGUCU
rnacentral:rRNA from 1 species